rnacentral:rRNA from 1 species
AACUGAAGAGUUUGAUCAUGGCUCAGAUUGAACGCUGGCGGCAGGCUUAACACAUGCAAGUCGAGCGGGGGAAGGUAGCUUGCUACCGGACCUAGCGGCGGACGGGUGAGUAAUGCUUAGGAAUCUGCCUAUUAGUGGGGGACAACAUCUCGAAAGGGAUGCUAAUACCGCAUACGUCCUACGGGAGAAAGCAGGGGAUCUUCGGACCUUGC